GCCUCGGUAGUGUAAUUGGUUAGCAUAUACCUCCGGAAAGGGUGGAAUAUUGGUUCGAAUCCCUCAUCUGAGGUG